GAUGAAGAACGUAGCGAAAUGCGAUACGUAAUGUGAAUUGCAGAAUUCAGUGAAUCAUCGAGUCUUUGAACGCACAUUGCGCCCCCUGGUAUACCGGGGGGCAUGCCUGUCCGAGCGUCAUUGCUGCCCUCAAGCACGGCUUGUGUGUUGGGCCUCCGUCCUCCUCCCGGGGGACGGGCCCGAAAGGCAGCGGCGGCACCGCGUCCGGUCCUCGAGCGUAUGGGGCUUCGUCACCCGCUCUUGUAGGCCCGGCCGGCGCUUGCCGACACAUCAAUCUUUUUUCCAGGUUGACCUCGGAUCAGGUAGGGAUACCCGCUGAACUUAAGCAUAUCAAUAAGCGGAGGA
rnacentral:misc_RNA from 1 species